rnacentral:rRNA from 1 species
UACGUAGGGGGCAAGCGUUGUCCGGAUUUACUGGGCGUAAAGCGCGCGUAGGCGGACGGGGUAAGUGUGGCUUCAAAGCCCCCCGGCUCAACCGGGGGAAGGCGGCUGCAAACUGCCGGUCUUGAGGGCGACAGAGGAGUGUGGAAUUCCGGGAGUAGCGGUGAAAUGCGUAGAGAUCCGGAGGAACACCCGUGGCGAAGGCGGCACUCUGGGUCGCCCCUGACGGCUGAGGCGCGAAAGCGUGGGGAGCGAACGGG